rnacentral:rRNA from 1 species
GAGACUCUGUGCGCGUGCAUAUCAAUAAGCGGAGGAAAAGAAACUAACAAGGAUUCCCCUAGUAACGGCGAGUGAAGCGGGAAGAGCUCAAAUUUGAAAUCUUAAAGGUUUCCCUUGACGAAUUGUAGUUUAUAGAAGUGUUUUCUGUUAGUGGAGUUUGGUAAAAGUUCUUUGGAAUAGGACAUCAUAGAGGGUGAGAAUCCCGUAUUUGGUCAUUCUUUCUAGCUUUGUGAUACACUUUCAACGAGUCGGAUUGUUUGGGAAUGCAGUCCAAAAUGGGUGGUAAAUUUCAUCUAAAGCUAAAUAUUGGCGAGAGACCGAUAGCGAACAAGUACCGUGAGGGAAAGAUGAAAAGAACUUUGAAAAGAGAGUUAAACAGUACGUGAAAUUGUCAAAGGGGAAGCGUUUGACACCAGUGUUGUUUUUCCGAAAAUCAAUUACGAAUGUUUUGUUUUUGAGGAGUUAUGACUUCAUCGGCUUGCUCCUUUCUUUACGAAACUUUCUUAAUGCACUUUUCGGUUAACAAGUCAACAUCAAUUUCUUUUGUUGUAAAAGGGUAUGAGGAAGGUGGCCUUCUUUUCGGAGAAAGUGUUUAUAGCCUUGUACCUCUGCAAUCGGAGAGAUUGAGGUCUGCAGCGUAGAUCCUUCGGGGUUAGAUACAUUUGUGCUAAGUUAUAGCUUUUCAUAGACAACUUGUUGACUAUGUUUAGUCUUGUAGCUUACUCGCUUAUGCUAUUUUACCUACGCUUAGGAUGUUGACAGCAGUAUAGACUGU